GACGAACGCUGGCGGCGUGCUUAACAAAUGCAAGUCGAACGGUAAGGCCCUUCGGGGUACACGAGUGGCGAACGGGUGAGUAACACGUGGGUGAUCUGCCCUGCACUUCGGGAUAAGCCUGGGAAACUGGGUCUAAUACCGGAUAGGACUCCGGACUGCAUGGUCUGGGGUGGAAAGCUUUUGCGGUGUGGGAUGGGCCCGCGGCCUAUCAGCUUGUUGGUGGGGGGAUGGGCUACCAAGGCGACGACGGGUAGCCGGCCUGAGAGGGUGACCGGCCACACUGGGACAGAGUUGCGGCCCAGACUCCUACGGGAGGCAGCAGUUGGGAAUAUUGCACAAUGGGCGACAGACUGAUGCAGCGACGCCGCGUGAGGGAUGACGGCCUUCGGGUUGUAAACCUCUUUCAGCAUCGACGAAGCGAAAGUGACGGUAGGUGCAGAAGAAGGACCGGCCAACUACGUGCCAGCCGCCGCGGUAA
rnacentral:rRNA from 1 species